rnacentral:tRNA from 1 species
CUAGUUUGAAAAAAUUUCCUACCACUGACAUUAGCCCUUAUCCUAUGACACACCUCACUACCAGUUAUAUCAGCAAGCCUACCACCACAACUUUAACCCAGGAAAUGUGCCUGAGUAAAAAGGAUUACUUUGAUAGAGUAAAACACGAGGGUUAAAACCCCUCCAUCUCCUA